AGCGGCGGCUGGGCCUUGCGGGCGGAGGAAGUGGAAGAAGUCGCGGGAGGGUAGGGGACCGCGGAACUUCUGGUUGCUAUGACGACGGCAAAGCCCUGGAUUCCUGUCUCCUGCGGAGAGCAGAGGCUGCAAACGUGGGUGCAGUUUUCAACCUGCCUCGCGCACUGGCGGUGGGGAAAGCUAGGGAUGGUUGCGGCAGGAUAAUUUUUAAACCGAUUCAAGAGGGCAUCUCUAGAAGACCACCGUCAAGAUACCUGGCCAAAUUUGGCAAAUGAGAAAUGAAAAGAGGCUUGCUCAUGACUUGGAAGCGGUGGGCUGAGGCCUCCCAAGACCAUCUGGCUUGUUCCAUUGCCAGCCAGAGUGGAGGCGACAUUCACACGAACCCAGGAGCUGCAGGGGCGCGUGAGCUGCAGCUGCCUUGUGGCAUCCAAGGAGCGCACAGUGAGAUUCCGCAGGAGAAAUCACGCUUUGCAUGUUCUUGAGUACAAGAAACAUGUGUAAAGAGGGUUUUUGUUUGUGGGCAUGCCAAGGAGAACGACUCGAAUAUUAAAGCCAUCACAACCUUUAUUUAAGGGAAAAGAGGACAAGAAUGAAUAUGCUGAUAGUUCAGAGAUAUUUAGGACCUUUGGCAGUUCAGCACUCAUCCUAAAUUUUUACAAAUAGCUUUCCGGAGAUGAAGCUUUUAAAAGCCUUUUAAAGGAAUUUUAUUUGUUCUUUUCACGUCGGGAAAAGUGAUGAGUAUAUCUACUCAGCCACUUUUUAUCUUCUAUCCUGCAAUCCAACCCACAUAAUUUUCAUGAAGAAAGCGGAAUGGUGUCAUUUUACAACAAGAAAACUGAGUUAAGAAUAAGUCCAAUCAAUUGCCAGGUGUUGGGACUGAAAUGGAAGUCUCUUAGUACUCCACCCAAGGAUUUUCGUAUUAAACAAUUAUCUUGUCAUCAUUUUA